AUGUCACACGAAACAUUAAAUAAUUCAUUGUCUGACAGACAGUUUCGAGAGGAAUCACAUAGACUGUGUGGGUUGGUGGAGGGAGAAAUACCUGACCCUAUGCGGCUUCAAGACAAAAUUAAAGAACUCCAGUUGGAGUUGAGCACCCUAAAGCUCAAAAAGAAUUAUUACCAAAACAAUUACUAUCGCUUAAAAGAUGAGCGUGAACACAGGUGUAAAGACGUGCAGGAAGAUUCUCUCCUUGAGCAGAACAGCAGCAUUGCUGCUCAGUUGUCCCAGAUGGAAAGUGAGAGAAACGAACAAAAGAAAGAGAACGCAAAUCUCAAGAAAGCCUUAGAGAGUCUUGAGUACCAAGUGGGAGAAGCUCAUCAUAAAACAACAAAAAAAGAUGAGAUAAUAGAUAAACAGAAUGGGGAAAUAGUACAAAAGCAGGAACAGAUAGUUGAGCUGAAAAAAGAAAUAUGUAUUCUUCAGCGUAGGGUGAGACAGGCUCUGGACGAAAAGCAGUCACAGGUGGAAUCUCUGGAGGCUAAACUCCAGGAACAGGUUCAAACCAUUCAGAUGAUGCACAAUGACUUUGUGGAAAAGGAAGAAUCUCUCCUUGAGCAGAACACCAGCAUUCCUGUUCAGUUGUCCCAGAUUGAAAGUGAGAGGAAUGAACAAAAGAAAGAGAUCGCAAAUCUCAAGAAAACUUUAGAGAGUCUUGAGUGCCAAGUGGGAGAAGCUCGUCAUAAAACAACAGAAAAGGAUGAGAUAAUAGAAAAACAGAAUAGGAAAAUGGUACAAAACCAGGAACUGAUAGUUGAGCUGAAAAAAGAAAUAUGUAUUCUUCAGCGUAAGGUGAGACAGGCUCUGGACGAAAAGAAGUCACAGGUGGAAUCUGUGGAGGCUAAAUUCCAUGAACAGGUUCAAACCAUUCAGACGAUGCAGCAUGACUUUCAGGAAAUGGAAGAAUCUCUCCUUGAGCAGAACAGCAGCAUUGCUGCUCAGCUGUCCCAGAUUGAAAGUGAGAGGAAUGAACAAGAGAAAGAGAUCGCAAAUCUCAAGAAAACUUUAGAGAGUCUUGAGUACCAAGUGGGAGAAGCUCAUCAUAAAACAACAAAAAAAGAUGAGAUAAUAGAUAAACAGAAUAGGGAAAUAGUACAAAAGCAGGAACAGAUAGUUGAGCUGAAAAAAGAAAUAUGUAUUCUUCAGCGUAGGGUGAGACAGGCUCUGGACGAAAAGCAGUCACAGGUGGAAUCUGUGGAGGCUAAAUUCCAUGAACAGGUUCAAACCAUUCAGACGAUGCAGCAUGACUUUCAGGAAAUGGAAGAAUCUCUCCUUGAGCAGAACAGCAGCAUUGCUGCUCAGCUGUCCCAGAUUGAAAGUGAGAGGAAUGAACAAGAGAAAGAGAUCGCAAAUCUCAAGAAAGCCUUAGAGAGUCUUGAGUGCCAAGUGGGAGAAGCUCAUAUUGAAAGAAGAAAAAAGGAUGAGAUAAUAGAAAAACAGAUUAGGGAAAUACUGCACAAUCAGGAACGGAUAGUUGAGCUUGAGGAACACAUUGAAAGCAUGAAACAGUUUGGUGCAGAUCUUAAGAAUCAGCUGAAUGAACAUCUGCUGGCUGAGAAUUAUGCCCUUAAAGAAAAUGAAGAAAUCCUCACCAAAAACAAUGAAACCCUCAGUGCUGAGUUAGCCCUGCUCCAGACAAUCACUGAGAAAAAACACGAAGAGUUAAAAAAUCUUACACAGCAAAUAUUUAGGCUGGAGAAUGCGGUUAAAGACAUCGAAAAUGUAAAACGAGCCCAACUGGAAUCUGUGAAGGCAAGAUCACAGGCAAAGAUUAAAACCAUUCAGAUGUCUCUGCAUGAGCUUCAGCAAAAGGAAGAGUUUCUCCUUGAGCAGAACAGCAGCAUUGAUGCUGAGAGGAAUGAACUAAAGAAAGAGAACACAAUUCUCAGGAAAGGUUUAGAAAAUCUUGAGUACCAAGUGAGGACGACAGAAAAUCUGACACAACAAAUGUUUACACUUGAGGAAAUAAUCAGAAAGCAGAACUGCAAAAUUGUGCACAUGCAGGACCUAAUAGAUGAACUUUCUGAACAUCUAGAAGUGAAGAGAAAGAUCAAUGAAAAUCUCAAGGAUCAGCUGAGAAGGGAGGAGGAAGGAAAAAUAUUAGCUGCUGCGCACAAUUUUGGAGACAGUUGUCAGAUCACUGAUGAAUCUCUGCAGCUGGAGAAUCUUGCUCCUGAACCUGAGGACCUUGAUUCUCCUGUGUCAGAACCAUCUCCUGAUGUGGUUCUGACACAGGAGAAUCUUGCUCCUGAACCUGAGGAGCUUGAUUCUCCUGUCUCAGAAUCACCUCCUGACGUGGUUCCGACUAGUAGUUCAUGGCGUCACGGUGCCAGACGCCUACUUAAAGUAGGUUUAGGUCUUGCCGCAGCAGGCAUUCUUAUUCCUGCUGCUUAUUGGGCCUUUUCAAUGUUUAACAACUGUUCCCCAUAUGACUCUGUCUAUGGUGGCCUUGAGCCAUAUUGCUACCUUGGUCAUGGAUCAGUUCCCCUUUAA
ensembl:lncRNA